rnacentral:tRNA from 1 species
AGUAUGUUAGUUCAAUGGCAGAAUAAUGUGAUACGAACGCAUUUAUACAAGUUCGAGUCUUGUACAUACUC